rnacentral:rRNA from 1 species
CCUACGAGAGGCAGCAGUGAGGAAUAUUGGUCAAUGGUCGGGAGACUGAACCAGCCAAGCCGCGUGAGGGAUGAAGGUACAGAGUAUCGUAAACCUCUUUUGUCAGGGAACAAAGGCGGGGACGCGUCCCCGGAUGAGUGUACCUGAAGAAAAAGCAUCGGCUAAAUACGUGCCAGCAGCCGCGGUAAUACGGAGGAUGCGAGCGUUAACCGGCGUUAUUGGUUUUAAAGGGUGCGCAGGCGGUCGGUUAAGUCAGCGGUCAAAGCCCGGGGCUCAAACCCGGACCGCCGUUGAAACUUGCAGUCGCGAGUUGGAGAGAAGUCUGCGGAAUGCGCGGUGUCGCGGUGAAAUGCAUAG